GACGAACGCUGGCGGUAUGCUUAACACAUGCAAGUCGAACGAGAAGCUUUUUAAUGAUCCUUCGGGUGAACUAAGAAGUGGAAAGUGGCGAACGGGUGAGUAACGCGUGGGUAACCUGCCUCAUGGAAAGGAAUAGCCUCGGGAAACUGGGAGUAAAGCCUUAUAUUAUUGAGUUGUCGCAUGGCAAUUCGAUGAAAACUCCGGUGCCAUGAGAUGGACCCGCGUCCCAUUAGCCAGGUGGUGAGAUAACAGCCAACCAAGGCAACGAGGGGUAACCGGCCUGAGAGGGGGAAGGGUCACACUGGAACUGAGACACGGUCCAGACUCCUACGGGAGGCAGCAGUGGGGAAUAUUGCGCAAUGGGGGAAACCCUGACGCAGCAAUACCGCGUGAGUGAAGAAGGUUUUCGGAUCGUAAAACUCUUUUAUUGGGGAAGAAGAAGUGACGGUACCCAAUGAAGAAGUCCCGGCUAACUACGUGCCAGCAGCCGCCGUAA
rnacentral:rRNA from 1 species